rnacentral:rRNA from 1 species
AGCGAACGCCGGCGGCAGGCUUAACACAUGCAAGUCGAGCGGGCAUAGCAAUAUGUCAGCGGCAGACGGGUGAGUAACGCGUGGGAACGUACCUUUUGGUUCGGAACAACACAGGGAAACUUGUGCUAAUACCGGAUAAGCCCUUACGGGGAAAGAUUUAUCGCCGAAAGAUCGGCCCGCGUCUGAUUAGCUAGUUGGUGAGGUAAUGGCUCACCAAGGCGACGAUCAGUAGCUGGUCUGAGAGGAUGAUCAGCCACAUUGGGACUGAGACACGGCCCAAACUCCUACGGGAGGCAGCAGUGGGGAAUAUUGGACAAUGGGCGCAAGCCUGAUCCAGCCAUGCCGCGUGAGUGAUGAAGGCCCUAGGGUUGUAAAGCUCUUUUGUGCGGGAAGAUAAUGACGGUACCGCAAGAAUAAGCCCCGGCUAACUUCGUG